GAUGAACGCUGGCGGCGUGCCUAAUACAUGCCAGUCGAGCGAACGGACGAGAAGCUCGCUUCUCUGAUGUUAGCGGCGGACGGGUGAGUAACACGUGGAUAACCUACCUAUAAGACUGGGAUAACUUCGGGAAACCGGAGCUAAUACCGGAUAAUAUUUUGAACCGCAUGGUUCAAAAGUGAAAGACGGUUUUGCUGUCACUUAUAGAUGGAUCCGCGCUGCAUUAGUGAGUUGGUAAGGUAACGGCUUGCCAAGGCAACGAUGCCUAGCCGACCUGGGAGGGUGUACCGCCACUGUGAGACUGGAACACCACACUGGCACCGACAGGAGGCAGCGAUUGGGAAUCGUCCGAGAUGGGCGGAAUCCUGACCAAGCGGCGCCGGCUUGAUGCUGAGGGUCUUCGUGUCGGAAAACUCUGUUAUUGUUGUAAAACAUUUUCGUUAGUAACUAUGCACAUCUUGACGGUACCUAGACAGGAAGCCACGGCUAACUACGUG
rnacentral:rRNA from 1 species